UCCACAUCUUGCAGGGCGUCUACGCAGAAUGGGAUGAAGCAGCAGCCAGCGAUACACCUGGGAGGGAGGACAGAGAGACAUAUAAGGAGCAUGUCACCAACACCAAGAACAUGGGCUCACAUCCUUGUGCUGCAACCUCCCGAGGGUCUUUGGUGGGCUAACCCGGAGCUGAAGACCUGUCUCUCUAUGCACAAAGCCCAGUGACUGAUCCCCAAUAUCAGCCCUGCCUGGCAGCAUGAACGAGAAGAGUAUGAACAUGCAGAAACAAUAAAUGAGGCUGGCCGCAACCAGUCAGACUUAAACAGGAAUGGCUGGGGUUAGCCUGGAGCAAAGGUGUCUUCAGGGUUCUCACGACUAGGAAAUCCACGUCCCCGCGUGACUCUCCUAACAGCCCCGCGUGACUCUCCUAACAGCUCAUGAAUGGGACUUCCUAGAGCCUUGGGCCCAUGGUGGGAACACAGCCUGCUGUUGCCUGCUCACUCCUCUCCCUGUGAGGUCCCUGCAACUCCAGAUACACUGACCUCCUCCUCACCACACCCCCAGGAGGCAAGUGUGGGUACUCAACCCCAGAGAAGGGAAGUCAUCUGCCUGAGGGAAUCUGAUUCACGGCAGCGAGGCCACGUCUCAAAAUGAUUAAAAAGUUGAGAAGAGGCAGAAAGUUAAUGUAGACUUGAGAAGUUGGCUCAGAUGAGGCUGACCUUGUGCUGCCCCAUCCCCAUUUCAGAUUAAAUAUCUCAAAGCA